rnacentral:lncRNA from 1 species
UAUCAUAUAAAUUACAUAAAAAAAUAUCAUUACACCAUUCUCCCUUUUAAGUACUUAAAAAUUAAAAUUUCUACUUUAGCAUUAAUUAACUUACCCAAGAUUAGAAAUUGGGGAGGCUUACGUAUUGGUUGUGAAGAAAAAAGAGAUGACAAGUGAUGCAAACUAAUUAAAUUGUAAAGAACAAUAUAAACACGUAAAUCACACAAACUUAGAUAGAGAUAGAGUCAAUGUUGACAAAUGACAAACCCUAAAAUGAGAGAAAAAAAGUGACCAUUGUUAACAAAUUUAAGUGUGUAAGAUUGAGAGAAUUGUGAACAAUAGAAGAGUAGUCUAAUGUGAACGGUGAGAGAUAACUAUAGACUAUUAUAACUUUUGAGUUUAAUUUGUAUUAUUUAUGUCAAUGUCAUGGCCAGGACCAGCAGUAAAACAAUGACAACACAUCAUGACGAUCAUAAUGCCA